CGAGUUGACGCUCGAAUGUCGUCCAGUUAUUAGAUAUCGAGGAGUUAGGGCCGGGGAUCGCUGGCGGCGGCACGUUCUCGCCUGUCUCGCUCAAGGACUGCAGAGAUGGAGAGUCUAUGUUGGGCUGCUCCUCCUUGUAUGAUAGGUGGUGCGGUGGUGGUCGCACAGCUGAGAUAUCCAUGGAGGAAGGGGCAAGAUCUCCAUUGGGUGGACGCUUGAGCAUGUAUUGGAGGGAGAUGGGACUCCACCGUUCAUCCAUUCUACAACAGAUGGAUAUUUAUUUAUGAGUAUGACCCAUGUACAGCUCAGUUACAAAAGAUGAAGAUGAAGGGAUGCGUAUGGAGGAGAAAGUAAAUCACAGUAUCACAUUCACGGCAGGAAAACAGAAUGCAGGACCGUGAAAGCUUAUGUGGCAAUGAUGCUGAUGCAGGACCAUGAAAGCUGAUGUGGCAUGAUGGCGAUGUGGAUAGUGUGCAUGUUGAGAUAAUUGUUAGUAGUGGGGAUCAACUUCUUAAGAAUGUAGGAUGAUGGAAUCGGGAAACUACUUGUGCAUUAAAUGAAGUGCUAAUCAUUUUUAGUUAGAUGGCUUAUUGUGUUCUUUGUCUACCUAUUGUUGAUUAUACUUACAGGGCCUAGAUCAAUAUAAAGCUGUGGGAUGCAUUGCAGAAGGAUUUGAAUGCUAGAAAUAAGAGGGUGAGAUGGAUAGAUAGAAAACCUUAUGCUUACUGGAAAGGGAAUCCAGAGAUCGCAACUAUAAGGCAAGAGCUUCUCAAGUGUAAAGAUUCUAGUAAACAAGAAUGAAAUACACUGAUCUACAAACAGGAUUGGAUCAAAGAGAGCAAGGCAGGAUACAAGAAAUCAUAUUUGGGCAGUCUAUGCACCCAUAGGUACAAGAUCUACAUUGAAGGAUCAGCAUGGCCAGUUAGUGAGAAGUAUAUAUCAUAGCUUGUGAUUAAACCAAAAUACUACGAUUUCUUUUCAAGGGUGUUGAUGCCCACUCAGCAUUAUUGGCCAGUUUGAGAUGACAUGUGCUAUGUGCAUCUAGCUGGUGGCCACCAGCUAAAAUGGUGAGAGCAGCCAUGAAGGACUUGCCAGUCGAACUAAAGUGAGAGCGGGCAUGAAGAAAGCUCGAUUUGUGGUUGAAGGCUGCAAAAAAUUAUUCCAGGAUUCAAAUAUGAUUAGUACUGUGUUUUCAUGGUCAUUCAAGUUGGGUGUUGAGUGGAUACUAUGGUAAGCUUAAUUAAAUAACUAUGAGUACUAUGUAAAUUGUAGUUCAACAAAUACGUAUUCACUACUAUGUAAAUUGUAGUUCAACGGAUAAUCCAUCUGUAAAUGCGUCAAAACUUCCCUUCGAAAUUCGUAUCCUCAAGUUUCAAAGCAUUU